UUUGAGGUAUCUAUGUAUAAACAAUGUUUAACUUAACCAAGGCACCUAUACUUUUUAACAGAGACCUUGUACUGGCAAAGCGUAAAGGACAGACGACUGAAACGUUGAUGUGUUACCUAUCAGGAAAUGCAGCUAAUCUAAUAACAACUAAAUCUGACCACAAUGGCAAAAUAUCACUAACAACACAGUACACUGAUGAUGCGGAAUGUAAGCCCAAUAGCAAUAUUAAAUUAAAAGGCAAUCGUCCGUUUGACUGCAAACCAAUAAAGCAGGAGAUAAAUGAAAAGAAAUCAGGGUCGGACUGGACACCUAAGAAAAUUACUGUCGGUUGUAAAGUUGUCGUCGUAGGCUAGAUGCGGGACAGAAAAAAAGAUGCUGCACGGACCAAAACUUGUGAAUAGAACUUGUAUGAAUUAUUGAUAACAUUUAUGGAUAUAUUUCUAAUCAAUUAUAUCCUAUUUAAUUUAUUUAUGAGUUAUGACAAGCAUUCCGCACAACUCAUUUUUCAUAGAUAGCUAUUCAAUCUAUUUUAUAGUUGUAAGUACUGCAUGUAUUAAGGCAAAAAAAUAAAAACUGUGC